GGUUAGCCCAACGAGAUCGGGAUAACACCUGGAAACAGAUGCUAAUACCGGAUAACAACAGAUGAUGCCUAUCAACUGUUUAAAAGAUGGUUCUGCUAUCACUCUUGGAUGGACCUGCGGUGCAUUAGCUAGUUGGUAGGGUAACGGCCUACCAAGGCGAUGAUGCAUAGCCGAGUUGAGAGACUGAUCGGCCACAUUGGGACUGAGACACGGCCCAAACUCCUACGGGAGGCAGCAGC
rnacentral:rRNA from 1 species